rnacentral:rRNA from 1 species
UACGUAGGGACCAAGCGUUGUUCGGAUUUACUGGGCGUAAAGGGCGCGUAGGCGGCGUGGUAAGUCACUUGUGAAAUCUCUGAGCUUAACUCAGAACGGCCAAGUGAUACUGCUGUGCUAGAGUGCAGAAGGGGCAAUCGGAAUUCUUGGUGUAGCGGUGAAAUGCGUAGAUAUCAAGAGGAACACCUGAGGUGAAGACGGGUUGCUGGGCUGACACUGACGCUGAGGCGCGAAAGCCGGGGGAGCGAACGGG